AAUCUUCCUCUCAACCAUUUUUGGUAUGAGGUCUUGCUCCUUUUAGGAGUUAAAAUCAUGGAAGUGCACACGUUAAUUAACUCUGUGCAGUUAUACACUUUUCAUCCUCCAAUCAAGCAAGGUUACCCGCUGAACUUAAGCAUAUCAAUAAGCGGAGGAAAAGAAACCAACAGGGAUUGCCCUAGUAACGGCGAGUGAACAGGCAAGAGCUCAGAUUUGAAAGGCACUUUUGUGCCGUUGUAUUCUGAAGUUAGGGUCCUGAGAAACGAUGCUUAAGUCUUCUGGAAAGGAGCGCCAUGGAGGGUGAUAGCCCCGUCUAGCAUUGACCUCAUAUAGGAUCUUAACAUGGAGUCGAGUUGUUUGGGAAUGCAGCUCAAAUGGGUGGUAUGCUCCAUCUAAAGCUAAAUAUCUGCGAGAGACCGAUAGUAAACAAGUACUGUGAGGGAAAGAUGAAAAGAACUUUGAAAAGAGAGUGAAAAAGUACGUGAAAUUGUUGAAAUGGAAGGGUAGGCCGCUAACCAUGUAGAGCCGUGUUUGGGGGGAAGAUAAAUGCUGUAGAAUGUAGCUCCUCGGAGUAUUAUAGAUGCAGUUCAUAUUCCCACCCGAGCGCGAGGAUCUCAGGUUCUACUAAAUGGUGGUCUACCACCCGUCUUGAAACACGGACCAAGGAGUCUAUUGUCUGCGCGAGUA
rnacentral:rRNA from 1 species